CAUGUUCACAUGAUUAAAGGUAUUCCGGUAGACGAUGGGGAUGCGUUCCAUUAGAUAGUAGGCGGGGUAACGGCCCACCUAGUCUUCGAUGGAUAGGGGUUCUGAGAGGAAGGUCCCCCACAUUGGAACUGAGACACGGUCCAAACUCCUACGGGAGGCAGCAGUGAGGAAUAUUGGUCAAUGGGCGAGAGCCUGAACCAGCCAAGUAGCGUGAAGGAUGACUGCCCUAUGGGUUGUAAACUUCUUUUAUAAAGGAAUAAAGUCGGGUAUGCAUACCCGUUUGCAUGUACUUUAUGAAUAAGGAUCGGCUAACUCCGUGCCAGCAGCCGCGGUAAUACGGAGGAUCCGAGCGUUAUCCGGAUUUAUUGGGUUUAAAGGGAGCGUAGAUGGAUGUUUAAGUCAGUUGUGAAAGUUUGCGGCUCAACCGUAAAAUUGCAGUUGAUACUGGAUAUCUUGAGUGCAGUUGAGGCAGGCGGAAUUCGUGGUGUAGCGGUGAAAUGCUUAGAUAUCACGAAGAACUCCGAUUGCGAAGGCAGCCUGCUAAGCUGCAACUGACAUUGAGGCUCGAAAGUGUGGGUAUCAAACAGGAUUAGAUACCCUGGUAGUCCACACGGUAAACGAUGAAUACUCGCUGUUUGCGAUAUACAGCAAGCGGCCAAGCGAAAGCGUUAAGUAUUCCACCUGGGGAGUACGCCGGCAACGGUGAAACUCAAAGGAAUUGACGGGGGCCCGCACAAGCGGAGGAACAUGUGGUUUAAUUCGAUGAUACGCGAGGAACCUUACCCGGGCUUAAAUUGCAGAUGAAUUACGGUGAAAGCCGUAAGCCGCAAGGCAUCUGUGAAGGUGCUGCAUGGUUGUCGUCAGCUCGUGCCGUGAGGUGUCGGCUUAAGUGCCAUAACGAGCGCAACCCUUGUUGUCAGUUACUAACAGGUUCCGCUGAGGACUCUGACAAGACUGCCAUCGUAAGAUGUGAGGAAGGUGGGGAUGACGUCAAAUCAGCACGGCCCUUACGUCCGGGGCUACACACGUGUUACAAUGGGGGG
rnacentral:rRNA from 1 species